rnacentral:rRNA from 1 species
GCUUACGGCCAUACCACCCUGAACACGCCCGAUCUCGUCUGAUCUCGGAAGCUAAGCAGGGUCGGGCCUGGUCAGUACUUGGAUGGAGACGCCUGGGAAUACCAGGUGCUGUAAGCU